UGCGGAUUCCAGUACGUCCCUAAGUGGCAGAAAUAACGUUGAACUAACAGCACUGCUAUCGUUAAUUAAAACAAACAUUCCCCAACUUGUGUUGAAAUCAUAUUGCGGAAGGUGUCGAAAUAUGUCAGUCAAAAAAGAUUCAUUAGUUUUAAUGCGACUAAAAGCAGAGAGGGAGUGAGACCGCCCGAGCUGACCACGGGUGGUAAAAACGAGCGUCCCUCCCCCUACGUUACCGUCCACGGAAGACAUUUAGCAUUUUUACAGCACGAGUACACACAGUCCUCUGAGGAGCAAUUUGCAUCUAUUUAACCUGCAAGUGAGUGACAUACAGACGCGUACAGGUGAAUAUAUUUAUUUCUUUUUGAAUAAAGAGACUGAACUCGGCGUCAACAUGGAGGACUGCGGCUUCCAGAGCCAGCUACUGUCCGUCAUGGAGGUCCUGGCCAAGGCAGCUGUGGCGGAGAUAACCCGGCGUGUGGAUGACAGCUGCGCGGUGCUACGGCUGGAGGUGAGCCAGAGCCGGCGGGACAUCGAGCUGCUGAAGCGGAAGAGUGAGGUGAUGGAGGCAGAGCUGAGGAGGAGCAGGAUGAGAGCCAGGAGGAAAGCGUUUUAUCCUCCAGCAGCAGAGAGAUUCUCUCCUUUAGUCCGAGUGGUGUUGAACAGAGGGAGACAGAGCACAUGUUGGGAUGCUGGGGCUCAAACUCAACCCCAGCAGUGUGCAGACGUGGAACGUGCUAAUGAAGCUGGACACAUCCUGAUCAAAGAGGAGUGUGCAGAGGAGGACCUGUGGAAGAACGAGUCAGAGGACAAACUCAGUGAGUACAAACCCUGUACACACUGGGCU
rnacentral:lncRNA from 1 species